GUGACAGCCGCCGCGGUAAUACGUAGGGAGCAAGCGUUGUCCGGAAUCAUUGGGCGUAAAACGCGCGUAGGCGGCCCUGUAAGUCCGUUGAGAAAGUCAAAGGCUCAACCUUUGAAAGCCGAUGGAUACUGCAGGGCUAGAGUCCGGAAGAGGCGAGUGGAAUUCCUGGUGUAGCGGUGGAAUGCGCAGAUAUCAGGAGGAACACCAAUAGCGAAGGCAGCUCGCUGGGACGGUACUGACGCUAAGGCGCGAAAGCGUGGGGAGCGAACAGGAUUAGAUACCCGCGUAGUCC
rnacentral:rRNA from 1 species